CUUGCUUCUUAUCAAUUCGAGUGGCAAACGGGUGAGUAACACGUGAGCAACCUGCCUUUCAGUGGGGGACAACAUUUGGAAACGAAUGCUAAUACCGCAUAAGACCACAGUGUCGCAUGGCACAGGGGUCAAAGGAUUUAUCCGCUGAAAGAUGGGCUCGCGUCCGAUUAGCUAGAUGGUGAGGUAACGGCCCACCAUGGCGACGAUCGGUAGCCGGACUGAGAGGUUGAACGGCCACAUUGGGACUGAGACACGGCCCAGACUCC
rnacentral:rRNA from 1 species